CAAACAUUUUACAAUAUUACUGAAUGUUUGACAUAAUAACGUAACUAAAUGCUGCCACAUUAUAUAUGAGUUGUGAACUAUAUACCAUGAAGUAAACAGAAAAUAACAAGGUGUCGCUCGUCACUUGUCAGGCAACACACGGCGCUGCCAGACGCCCAGGUGGAGUUGUGGGGUGAGGUGAAAAAUGCAUCCACUGACUCGAACCUGCAGCUUCCCUCCCCAUUGGCAGCCAGGAUGCGGAUGCUGGGCCUGAGUGUGUGGCUCUUCCUCAACCUGGUGUUCCUGGGCAUGGGCUCCUACCUUUACCUACUGUGGGUUCAGUACUGGCGGUACGCUCGAGCCUCCCAAAUGUCCCGCUCCCAGGACGCCUCUUGGGUCGAGGGGGAAGAUGACCCGGAGCCAAGGCCAGGCAAGCCAAGAUUCCACUCCAACCUCGUGCCGCCUAACCUCCCGCCUCUGUCUCGCCCAU